UAUAGAAAAAAAUGAAUGAAAGGUAUUCAAAGAAGUUCCGGUGAUAAAGGAAAUAUGCCAUUGUUAACUGUUUAUAGUGUGAAAAUGA